rnacentral:rRNA from 1 species
AGUGGCGGACGGGUGAGUAACGCGUAAGAAUCUAACUUCAGGACGGGGACAACAGUGGGAAACGACUGCUAAUACCCGAUGUGCCGCGAGGUGAAACCUAAUUGGCCUGAAGAAGAGCUUGCGUCUGAUUAGCUAGUUGGUGGGGUAAGAGCCUACCAAGGCGACGAUCAGUAGCUGGUCUGAGAGGAUGAGCAGCCACACUGGGACUGAGACACGGCCCAGACUCCUACGGGAGGCAGCAGUGGGGAAUUUUCCGCAAUGGGCGAAAGCCUGACGGAGCAACGCCGCGUGAGGGAGGAAGGUCUUUGGAUUGUAAACCUCUUUUCUCAAGGAAGAAGUUCUGACGGUACUUGAGGAAUCAGCCUCGGCUAACUCCGUGCCAGCAGCCGCGGUAAUACGGGGGAGGCAAGCGUUAUCCGGAAUUAUAGGGAGUAAAGCGUCCGCAGGUGGUCAGCCAAGUCUGCCGUCAAAUCAGGUUGCUUAACGACCUAAAGGCGGUGGAAACUGGCAGACUAGAGAGCAGUAGGGGUAGCAGGAAUUCCCAGUGUAGCGGUGAAAUGCGUAGAGAUUGGGAAGAACAUCGGUGGCGAAAGCGUGCUACUGGGCUGUAUCUGACACUCAGGGACGAAAGCUAGGGGAGCGAAAGGGAUUAGAUACCCCUGUAGUCCUAGCCGUAAACGAUGGAUACUAGGCGUGGCUU